rnacentral:rRNA from 1 species
GACGAACGCUGGCGGCGUGCUUAACACAUGCAAGUCGAGCGGUAAGGCUCCUUCGGGAGUACACGAGCGGCGAAUGGGUGAGUAACACGUGAGCAAUCUGCCCUUCUCAUCGGAAUAAGCGUGGGAAACCGCGUCUAAUGCCGAAUACGACCUCCUUUCGCAUGAUCGGAGGUGGAAAGCUCCGGCGGAGAAGGAUGAGCUCGCGGCCUAUAAGCUAGUUGGUAGGGUAAUGGCCUUCCAAGGCUACGAUCCGUAGCCGGCCUGAGAGGGUGACCGGCCACACUGGAACUGAGACACGGUCCGGACUCCUACGGGAGGCAGCAGUGGGGAAUUUUGCGCAAUGGGGGAAACCCUGACGCAGCAACGCCGCGUGGACGAUGAAGGCCUUUGGGUCGUAAAGUCCUGUCAGCAGGGAAAAACACAAUGAUGGUACCUGCAGAGGAAGCUCCGGCUAACUUCGUGCCAGCCGCCGCCGUAAUAC